rnacentral:tRNA from 1 species
GCGGGUGUAGUUCAGUGGUAGAACUCCAGCCUUCCAAGCUGGCUACGUCGGGUCGAUUCCGUACACCCGCACCA